GGGAUUGUGGCUCAAUGGUACAGUGCUUGCCUGGUAUGUUUGAGGCCCUAGGUUUGACUCUUAGCAUCACA
rnacentral:tRNA from 1 species